GUGUUAAAAAACAAAUAAAAUAAAAAAAAAAGAAAUAGUGUUAAAACAUAAAUUAGAUAAAAAAAAAAGAAGAAGAAAUACAUAUAUGUGCAUGUUAACCUUUUCAACAAGAACAAGUACAUGUUGAUAAAAUAAUUACUAAAAGAACAGGAAAAAGUAAAUAUCUUUGAUAGUAAACUAAGUAAGAUUGUGUAAUAUAUUUUAUGAACACAUAAAAAUAUUUUACAUAACUAUAUUCAAAUUCACGCGCACUAGUAUGUACAUACGUACGCACAUAUAUAUAUAUAUAUAUAUUAAAAUGCACUAGUUAGUAAAAAUGAGCCAACAUAAUGAAGGUAUUGACGGGUUUUACGACGCUUUAGAGGAGAACUGGACAACCGAUACGUAUGAAAAAGUUGAAUAUAUUAAGAACUUGAAAAAUAACAUAAAUAAAAAGAUAAACAAAGAGGAAUCACAAAAAUAUAAUUAUUGUCGUACAAAUAGUAAAAUAAAUUAUUUAAAUAAAAUGGAUACAAAUACAAAUGAACAGAAUAAAAAAAAAGAAAUAAAACAAAAAAUCGAAAGCGAAAUGGAUAGUAGAAAAAAUUUGAACAUAUUAAGUGACAAUGAAAAUGAUAGCUACAUAAAUAAAAAAAAUGAAAUUAAAAAAAAUACAUUUGUAUAUAGUAAUGAGUAUGGUAACAGUUUUAAUAAUUCAUCAAUUGAUUCAGAGUUAAAUGAAAAUAAAGAAGACGAUCAGGAAUGCUAUUUACUUAAGGAUAUUUAUGAAGAGUUAGAAAAUGGGGAUAAUACAAAAAAUAAAAAUAAUACGAAUGGGUACAGCACAGAUGAGCACAUGACGGGUGAAGCUAACGCGAAUGAAUAUAACAAUACGAGCCAUGCACAUAUGAAAAGUUUUUCAAAAAGAAGAAAUACAAGUUUAAUACAAAAAUUAAAAUUUAAUCAUGAUAGAGGACUAAAGCCAAAUACUCAAACUGAACCAACUAAUACGCAGGAUAUUAAGGAAACGUCUAUGAACAUAUGUCAAAAUGUUAGUAAAAAUAAAGAAGAUAAAUAUUAUAAUAAUGAUAAGGAUAAGGAUAAAAUCGGUAUUAGCUAUAGUGAGGACGAUCACUUUGGUGAUAACCACUUGGAUGAUAGCCACUUGGGUGAUAGCCACUUGGGUGAUAACCACUUGAGUGAUAACCACUUGGGUGAUAACCACUUGGAUGAUAGCCACUUGGGUGAUAGCCACUUGGGUGAUAGCCACUUGGGUGAUAGCCACUUGGGUGGUAGCCACUUGGGUGGUAGCCACUUUGGUAGUAGCCAAAUAAAAGAUGGCUAUUUCAGUGAUAAAGAAAACGUAAAAAGAUACGAUCAAAGUGAACACAAAACGAAAGUAAAUGAGUCCAUAAUUUAUUACAACGACAGUGAUCAUAUUAAAUAUGAAUCAAACAAUUUUUAUAACAAUAAUAUGACCAAGUUGGUUAGCCAUAGUAAUGAAUGUAAUGAAAAUAGAAAUGACAAUAAAAUGAAUAUUAGUUGUGAUAGUUAUGUAACAGAGAAAGAGUUUGAUAUGAAUACAAAUAAAAUUUUUGUUAAUUUUUUAAAAAAAAAAUUAAAUAUAAAUAAACAAGAAGAUAAACAACAAAUUGAUUAUUCAAAAUUGUAUAGCUCGGCAAAUGAAGAGAACUCGAAUGAGCAACAUAAAGAAAUAAUAAGUAUGUUAAGCGACAAUAUAAAUGACCAUUUGGACUUUUUAGACAAUGAAAUCAAUAUAAAAAAUAAAACGAUACAUCAAAGUAAGGACAAUAAUACAUAUAUAUGCGGUAAUGGUGAUAAUAUUAAGGAUUAUAAAAAAGGAAAUCGUAUUGGUAAUCUUAACAGAAGUAGAAGUGGUAGUAGUCGUGACAAGAGCAAUAGUAAUAUUUGUAAAAGGAAUAGCAGUAAAAGUUGUAAAAGAAACGGAAGUAGUAGUUGUGACAUGAGCAGCAAAAACUACUCUAAUUCAUCCCCUAACCCAAUACUCAUAAAAAAAAAAAGCCAACUUAUAUAUGCUGCAAAUAAACUAAAUAAAAAUAAACCUAAUGAAAAAAAUGCCAUAACUGAUACGACAGAAAAGAACAAUGAAAAAGACAAAAAUAAUAAAGAAACAGUUAAAAUAUGUAAUAGCUAUGAUAGUACUGACAUAUGUGUUGAUUUAUAUGAUGAAGAAUCAUGGGAUGAUGAAGAUCCUAAAACAGAAGUGAAAAAAAAUAAUGUAAUGUUAUUAGGCACUAAAAAAAAUAAAAAUAGAAUGCUAGCAGAUUCGAAAAAAAAUAAUAUGGACUUAAAAAAAAAAAAAAAUACCCGACCAACCAAUCUGAACAAGAAAGCUAAUACAAUAAAAAAUUCUAACACUAAGAAAAACAACGUUCAAAAAAAAGAACCUAAUGCUAUAUUAACAGAAGAAGAUAAUUAUAACAAUGACAAACUGAAAGUAUUAGGAAAUGAACUACAUAAACAGAUAAAUAUGUUGGAGAAAGAAAAAGAAAAAGUAAAAAAAUUAGAAUAUGAGUUGAUUGCGAAAAGUGCUGAGAUUGAUUUGGAGCGAGAAGAAAUGAGAAAUAGAAUAGAAGAAGAGAAGAAAGAAUUUCUUAAAAUGUUAGAAGAAGAAAAAAAAAAAUGGAAUAAAGAAAAAAAAAAAAUAGAAAAUGAAGUAGACAAACAAAAAAAUAUGAAUAUGAAUAAAAGAAAAUUAACAAACGAAAUAGCAAUGUUUAAAAAUGAAAUAAAAUUAUUACAAAAUAAAAUGAAUAGUGAAAAAAAACAACAUAAAUUGAUAGUAGAAAAAAUGCAAAAACAAAUAGAUAAUUUAUCUAUGAUAAAUGAAAAAUUAAAAACUGAGUUAAAAUUAUCAGAUGAAUAUAGAGAUAAAUUAGAAAACUAUCAACAAAAAACUCUAUGCACAUUAGCACAAAAUAUGACAGAAAUAAAUAAAACAAACACAAAAAAUAAUUCUGAUUAUAUGCAAAAUGGACAUCAUCACAACUACGAUAAUUUAUUGGAUGAUCAUGACGAGCGAAUUGGUAUUAACGAUGGCAGUGGUAUUAACAAUGGCAGUGGUAUUAACGGUGGCAGUGGUAUUAACGAUGGCAAUGGUAUUAACGAUGGUAGUAGUAUUAACUCCUCUGUUGAAAGUAGCGAUUUAAAAAAAAAAAACAAGUUGUUAAAACAAAUAACGGCAAGAAAAAAAAAUAAUACUACUCCAGGUACGGUUACUGCUACUAAUAAAUAUAAUGCGAAACGAUAUUUAGAAGAAACAGAAGCAUACGACAAAACGAACGAAUCUGAAUAUUCAAACGAUCUAGAAAAAAUUAUAAAUGAUAAUCAUACUAAUAUUUUAAACGAAUUUGAUAUUAUAUAUGAAACUUCUAACAGUGAUAACGAACACUAUCAAAAAAAUAGUACUUUACGCAAAAAACACAUAUUUAUGCAUAAUGUUAUGAAUAAUAAUAUAAAAAAUAAAGAAAAAAAAAAAAUUACGCUUAAUAAUUUAUUUGUGAAUAAUAAAAAAAAAGAAAAAAAUCUGGACAAUAUAGAAAAAGAAAAAAAAAAAGAAGAACACAUUAAUCAAAAUUUGAAUAAAAUGAAAUUAAUCAUUGAAAAAAAUAAAAACAGACUUAACAGUGACAAUAUAAAUAAUAAUAAUGUCAGAAGUGGUAAAGCUAGUAGUGUCAAAGCUAGUAGUGGUAAAGCUAGUAGUGGUAAAGCUAGUAGUGGUAAAGCUAGUAGUGGUAAAGCUAGUAGUGGUAAAGGGAAUAGUGCUAUUCCCACUAAUACCAAUACUAAUAGUAAAGAAAACAAUUCGUACAACUUAUUUGGUAAGGAUUGGAGUUUUGUUAUGAAUUUCAAUUUUGAUGAAGUAUUCAACACUUGUGAAAAUGUUAUUAAAUCUAUUUUUACGCCAUCAAAGAAAAUAAAAUAUAGACAAGCGUUUAUCGAUGGAAAGGUAGAAACAUUAUUUGAUGAUGGACUAAAAAUAAUUGAAAAAAAUAAAAACAAAAAAAUCAUGAACGCAGACAACUUAGUUAUUUAUCUUUACCCAAAUAAGGAUUACAAGGCACAGUUACCUAAUUCGUACACACUAUUUCGAUUUCUUAGUAAAGGAAUCUAUCAAGUAAACAUACCAAACAAAUGUCAAAUAAACAAGUUUUCGAACGGACAAAUAGAUUGCAAAUACGAUGAUGGACAUAUACAAAUUUUGUUUAGCGACGGCAAGAGAAAAGAAAUUUUACCAAACAAAGAUGAGUAUGUAAUAUUACUUGAUGGCACAGUAUUGAAUAAAAAUAAAAAAAAUGAACAAGGAAAAUGAACACAAAAAAUGAACAAAAAAAGUGAACACAAAAAAUGAACAAAAAAAGUGAACACAAAAAAUGAACAAAAAAAGUGAACACAAAAAAUGAACAAANNNNNNNNNNNNNNNNNNNNNNNNNNNNNNNNNNNNNNNNNNNNNNNNNNNNNNNNNNNNNNNNNNNNNNNNNNNNNNNNNNNNNNNNNNNNNNNNNNNNUAUAUAAGUCAUAUAUCUAUUCUUUUAUUCUUUUUUUUUUUUUAUACAUUUUCUGCAUUUGUAGACGCAACAAAAAUAUAUAUUAUUUAAACCACUGUUUUUUUUGUCUUUGUUUUUGUUUUGCAAAUAAGUACAUAAAAUUUUAUAACAUAUUUUUAUUCAUUUUUUUUUUUUUUUUUUUACCCACUUAUUAAAUGAUUUUUUUUUUUUUUUUAUUAACUUAUUUAAAAAUAUUUAUUUUAUCUUUUUAAUUAAUAUCCAUGGGAAACUUCAUACUCGAAUUUUGACUAUGAAUUUAUUAUUAAUCUGCAUUCACCGAAUGAAUUGGCCGAAUGGACUGACCUAAUUAAUAAAUUGAUCGAACGAAUUGACCA
rnacentral:lncRNA from 1 species